rnacentral:rRNA from 1 species
AUUGAACGCUAGCGGCAGGCCUAACACAUGCAAGUCGAACGGCAGCGGGGAGUAGCUUGCUACUCUGCCGGCGAGUGGCGGACGGGUGAGUAAUGCCUGGGGAGCUGCCCAAUCGAGGGGGAUACCAGUUGGAAACGACUGCUAAUACCGCAUACGCCCUGAGGGGGAAAGGUGGGGAUCUUCGGACCUACCGCGAUUGGAUGCACCCAGGUGGGAUUAGCUAGUUGGUGAGGUAACGGCUCACCAAGGCGACGAUCUCUAGCUGGUCUGAGGGGAUGACCAGCCACACUGGAACUGGGGAACGGUCCAGACGCCUACGGGAGGCAGCAGUGGGGAAUAUUGCACAGUGGGGGAAACCCUGAUGCAGCCAUGCCGCGUGUGUGAAGAAGGCCUUCGGGUUGUAAAGCACUUUCAGCGAGGAGGAAAGGGGUGAUGCUAAUACCAUCAUCCUGUGACGUUACUCGCAGAAGAAGCACCGGCUAACUCCGUGCCAGCCGCCGCCGUAACAC